CCUACGGGCGGCAGCAGUGAGGAAUAUUGGUCAAUGGGCGCGAGCCUGAACCAGCCAAGUAGCGUGAAGGAUGACUGCCCUACGGGUUGUAAACUUCUUUUAUAAAGGAAUAAAGUGAGGCACGUGUGCCUUUUUGUAUGUACUUUAUGAAUAAGGAUCGGCUAACUCCGUGCCAGCAGCCGCGGUAAUACGGAGGAUCCGAGCGUUAUCCGGAUUUAUUGGGUUUAAAGGGAGCGUAGAUGGGUUGUUAAGUCAGUUGUGAAAGUUUGCGGCUCAACCGUAAAAUUGCCAUUGAUACUGGUAGACUUGAGUACAGUUGAGGUAGGCGGAAUUCGUGGUGUAGCGGUGAAAUGCUUAGAUAUCACGAAGAACUCCGAUUGCGAAGGCAGCUUACUAAACUGCCACUGACAUUGAUGCUCGAAAGUGUGGGGAUCAAACAGGAUUAGAUACCCCUGUAGUC
rnacentral:rRNA from 1 species